rnacentral:rRNA from 1 species
UACGGAGGAUGCAAGCGUUAUCCGGAAUUAUUGGGCGUAAAGCGUCCGCAGGUGGUUAUCCAAGUCUGCUGUUAAAGCGCGAGGCUUAACUUCGUACAGGCAGUGGAAACUGGGUGACUGGAGUAUGGUAGGGGUAGCGGGAAUUCCCAGUGUAGCGGUGAAAUGCGUAGAUAUUGGGAAGAACACCAGCGGCGAAAGCGCGCUACUGGGCCAUUACUGACACUCAUGGACGAAAGCUAGGGGAGCGAAAGGG